GAUAAACUCGCCGCCCUCGUCGAUGAGAUCUCCCAACUAACGCUUCUCGAAAUCUCUGACCUCACCGAGGUCCUUCGUAACAAGUUGGAUAUCAAGGAGAUGCCGGUAAUGGCGGUAAUGAUGCCCGGGGUGGGAUUUAGUGGCGUGAAGGCCGUCGCAAAGGGAGGAGCAGGUGCGGCGGCCAAGGUAGAAGAGAAGGGGGAGAAGACGGUGUUUGAUGUAAAGCUUGAAGGGUUUGAUGCGGCGACGAAAAUCAAAGUGAUUAAGGAAGUCAGAGGGUUUACGGAUUUAGGACUGAAGGAGGCAAAGGACUUGGUGGAGAAGGCUCCUACGCUGUUGAAGAAAGGAGUGACGAAAGAGGAGGCAGAGAAAAUUAUGGAGAAAAUGAAGGAGGUUGGCGCCAAAGUUACCAUGGAGUGAGGAAGUGAGUAGCUGGAGCAUGCCCCAAGGCAAUGGGAGGAAGAAAAAUAAAAGAAAGGACAACUUUGAAGCACAAUUUGUUUCUUUCAGCGUCUACAGGAUCUUCAUUGAAAUGAAGUGUCCUUCAUGACCAACAUUGUACUGGC
rnacentral:misc_RNA from 1 species